GCCUCCUUCGCUCAGUUCUUCGUGUCACGUCGUCUGCUUGCGAUCCACCCCUUCAUGUUCGCAACUACCUUCUCCAAUCAACUACCGGUCGUUGCUUCUCUCCAAGAUGGCACCAAAUCGAAAAAAAAUGUACAUGAAGGUCGAAGUGAGAACAAAGAUGAAAACCAACGUGGUAAAGAUUUGGGCAGGGUUAGUUGGUCAAAAGAACAGCUUCACCUUCUUUGUGAUCUUUGUAUACAAUACGUUGAAAAAAGUAAAGGGAAAAGCGGUGGAGUAACAUCUCAAAGGUUAGUGUGGAAGAAGAUAGAAGUAGAAUUUCAAAAA